rnacentral:rRNA from 1 species
GUAAGGAAUAUUGGACAAUGGACGCAAGUCUGAUCCAGCCAUGCCGCGUGAAGGAUUAAGGUCCUCUGGAUUGUAAACUUCUUUUAUAAGGGACGAAAAAAGGCUUUUCUAAGUCGUCUGACGGUACCUUAUGAAUAAGCACCGGCUAACUCCGUGCCAGCAGCCGCGGUAAUACGGAGGGUGCAAGCGUUAUCCGGAUUCACUGGGUUUAAAGGGUGCGUAGGCGGGCAGGUAAGUCAGUGGUGAAAUCCUAGAGCUUAACUCUAGAACUGCCAUUGAUACUAUCUGUCUUGAAUAUUGUGGAGGUAAGCGGAAUAUGUCAUGUAGCGGUGAAAUGCUUAGAUAUGACAUAGAACACCUAUUGCGAAGGCAGCUUACUACGCAUAUAUUGACGCUGAGGCACGAAAGCGUGGGGAUCAAACAGGAUUAGAUACCCUGGUAGUCC